UGCGUAGGCGGAAGAUUAAGUCAGUGAUGAAAUCCUGCAGCUCAACUGUAGAACUGUCAUUGAUACUGAUUUUCUUGAAUACAGUUGAGGUAGGCGGAAUAUGUAAUGUAGCGGUGAAAUGCUUAGAUAUUACACAGAACACCGAUUGCGAAGGCAGCUUACUAAGCUAUGAUUGACGCUGAGGUACGAAAGCGUGGGGAGCGAACAGGAUUAGAUACCCUGGUAGUCC
rnacentral:rRNA from 1 species